CCACCUUCUGACAGGAGACAUUCUGAUAGCGGAACAGCUUCCUUCACAAACACAUUUAGAAACAUGGGCAACGUUCUGCUGCUUACCUUCAGCCUCCUGGACAGACUGGACAGGGAGCGAGAGACACGGAAGUGGGUCGGGUCCAACCCACUGGUUCUGACUCCCUCCAGGAAAGAGCUGCAGCAGACGAGGCCACGCUGUGUCUGACGACAGGGGCUUCUCCUCCUCUUGUCACAAAGAUUUUUUGUAGGUCUCUUUCCUGUUUUAUGUUGUACAUAUCCUGUUCUGUGUCACACCAGGUCUUACUGUACGUUCACUUUACGUCCGGUCAUUAUCCUCCAGCUGCCACUAAUCAGUAAUCAGUCUCAGUAUUAAUUCGCCAGUGCUCAGAUCGUCGUGUGUUCAUCCCCUUUCCAGCGUUCUCUUGAUUGUUAGCUCUGUGUUAGAACGUCUGUACCGUAGCCCUAGUUUGUGUCCGCCAUCUCAGAACCUCGCCGGUGACACCUCUGUUGUCCUGAGCAGCUCACUGGUCCUGAUCUAAUGCUCAGCUUUGGCUGUUUUCAUGUUAAGUCUAUUUACUGAUUAUUUCAUACAGUAUUUUUUGUUUGUUUCCUGUUUUAUUUCUCAUUGGAUUAAGAACUUGUCCAGGUUUCUGAAGGUACCAGUGCAGGUAGCUGGUGCUAGAACUGGCUUCACAUCUGACAGACACGGACCAUCCACCAUGGAUGUGGUUGUAAUGUUUUUAUACGCACACGCUGGUGCAGUGGGUUGCACUGUUGCCUCACAGCAUGAAGGUCCUGGCUCGAUUUCUGGGUGCCUUUCGGUUUGGCAUGUUCUCCCUGUGUUCGUGUGGGUUCUCUCCAGGUUCUCUGGUUUCCUCCCACGGUCCAAAGACAUGCCUUGGGUUCAUUCUCACUCUCCAUUGCCCAUAAGUGUUUGUGAGUGUGUGUGAAGGGUUGUUGGUCUCUGUGUGGCCCUGCAAUAGACUGGGGACCUGUUCAGGGUGCACGCUGCCUCUCGCCCUCAGCCUGCUGGAAUAGGCUCCGCCCCCGAAUGGGAAAAUGGAUAGAUGAUUUUUGUACAUUCAUAACUGAUGGUGACGCUUCCUCCCAGCGCGGCGCUCACUGCUCCAGGCUGAGUCACUGUGACCUGACCUCUGGACUCUGAGGACACACAGACAACAACAUGAAGCAGCAUCACGGUUCAGUGGCUUCACGUCACAGCUGGAUUCUCUGGACUUUACCUGUGAAGCAGCAGCAGAGCAGAGUCCAGACGAGGACGGAGGUCAGAGUCAUGGUGCUGAUGAGGAGGAUUUCUGUGUCUGCUCGUGAUGAAGGACAGACGUCAGUCCUCCAGGGUUCAGCUCUCAGGACUAUAAAGUCUCCCUGAGCAGUGGAGCAUGAAGCAGCUGAUGCAAAGAGGCUCAGUGGAAACACCAGUGGGAGGAAGAUGAUGAUGAGGAAGAAACAUGAUCAAUAUUUAGAUGAUGACGAAGAUGAUGAAUACAGUGAUCAGAGUAACGCCCGCCCCACCCUGACGGUGCUGCCUCCCUCCAGGGAGGAGCUGCAUGGGGGGAGGGCCACGCUGGUGUGUCUGGCCCACGGGGGCUUCCCCUCAGACUGGACUCUGUCCUGGAAGCUGGAGGGCGGCGGCAGCAUCAGUAAAGAGGAGAGCAGCGGCCCCGCGCUGCUGGAGAAGCACGGCCUCUACAGCCGGAGCAGCAGCGUGAGCAUCCCUGCAGACCAGUGGGCCACGGUGACCUCUGUGACCUGCGAGGCCUCCCAGGGCUCCCAGUCUCCAGUCACAGAGACUCUGAGGCGAGACCAGUGCUCCCAGUCCUGAGCCCGCUCGCUCACACUCUGCCACUGGUUUUAUUCUACGUUUUUAAUUUGAAAGAUUUUUGAUUAUUUCAAUAAAAGCUGUUCGAACCAGA